ACUCCUACGGGAGGCAGCAGUGGGAAUAUUGCACAAUGGGGAAGCCAUCGAUGCAGCCAUGCCGCGCUGUGUGAAGAAGGCCAAUUCGGGCUUGGUUAAAGACACUUUUCAGUAGGGAGGAAGGUAGUGUAGUUAACACCUGCACUAUGUGACGUUACCCACAGAAGAAGCACCGGCUAACUCCGUGCCAGCAGCCGCGGUAAUACGGAGGGUGCAAGCGUUAAUCGGAAUUACUGGGCGUAAAGCGUGCGCAGGCGGUCUGUUAAGCGAGAUGUGAAAGCCCGC
rnacentral:rRNA from 1 species